rnacentral:tRNA from 1 species
GCCUUCGUGGUGUAACGGUAGCACACUCGGCGAGUAUUCGAGAGGUCCGUGGUUCGAGUCCCUGCGAGUGUA